rnacentral:rRNA from 1 species
UUCCUCCUUUGGGCAGCAGUGAGGGAUAUUGGGCAAUGGGGGAAACCCUGACCCCUCUCCUCCUCGUGAUUUAAGACGGUCUUCGGAUUGUAAACCUCUGUCUUUGGGGACGAAAAAGGACGGUACCCAAGGAGGAAGCUCCGGCUAACUACGUGCCAGCAGCCGCGGUAAUACGUAGGGAGCGAGCGUUGUCCGGAAUUACUGGGUGUAAAGGGAGCGUAGGCGGGAUUGCAAGUUGGAUGUGAAAACUGCGGGCUCAACCCGGAGCGUGCAUUCAAAACUGCG